UACGUAGGGGGCUAGCGUUGCUCGGAAUCACUGGGCGUAAAGGGUGCGUAGGCGGGCUUUUAAGUCAGGGGUGAAAUCCUGGAGCUCAACUCCAGAACUGCCUUUGAUACUGAAGAUCUUGAGUUCGGGAGAGGUGAGUGGAACUGCGAGUGUAGAGGUGAAAUUCGUAGAUAUUCGCAAGAACACCAGUGGCGAAGGCGGCUCACUGGCCCGAUACUGACGCUGAGGUGCGAAAGCGUGGGGAGCAAACAGG
rnacentral:rRNA from 1 species